rnacentral:rRNA from 1 species
UACGUAGGGUGCAAGCGUUAAUCGGAAUUACUGGGCGUAAAGCGUGCGCAGGCGGUUGUGCAAGACAGAUGUGAAAUCCCCGGGCUCAACCCUGGGAAUUGCAUUUGUGACUUGCACGGCUAGAGUGUGUCAGAGGGGGGUAGAAUUCCACGUGUGAGCAGUGAAAUGCGUAGAGAUGAUGGAGGAAUACCGAUGGCGAAGGCAGCCCCCUGGGAUAACACGUGACCGCCUCAUGCACGAAAGCGUGGGGAGCAAACAGG